GAUGUCCUGGGGGAGGGGAAAGGGAGGAUCAUCACACAGACCCUGGAAAUAGAGGAAUGAGCCUUCACUGUUAUUGUCUAUCUGUUCACUCCUCCCAAAGGGAUCAGCUUCUUCACAGUCACCCUUUGUUACCCUGCUGAGUCAGUGUAGCUCACAUGUAACCAACCAAACUGUAAUCUCAAAAGGCGUGGAGAAAAAAUAUGAGUUGAUAUUGCCAAGCAAAGAAAACAUGGAAUUUGUGAGGCUUCAAAUGGACAAAAGAAAGACACAAAGUCCUGAUAUUGCUUCCCAACAAGGUCCUUACCUUCAACUAUUCCCUGAGCUUGUGAGACAGAGACGAUACGUCACCAUGCUCUUGGCCACAGCCAGAAAACAGAGAGUCAGACUAUCUUAACAUGUAAAUCAGGCUAGCUCUAAAGGCCUGAUGCUUCUGUUUUAUCCACCCUACUGCUGAGACUGCCGGUCUGAACCACCGUGCCUGCAAGUACAGCUCUUUGAGGAUGAUUCUUCACCAUCUGAAGCUACAAGAAUCAUGGUCAUUGACCCCCCACUCUCCACACCACAUGC